rnacentral:sRNA from 1 species
UUCACGGCCUCGUCAAGAGAAAUCACAGAGCUGCCCGAAUUCAGCCGUUGCGGCGCCCAUCGGGGCUUCCAAUCUCUUAACCAUAGCGUUGGGCCGGUUCGCGUGGCGCAUCGGUUUCCCAGCCCCCCAGCCCCCCGCGGCGCUCGUGGGCCGGCCUGACGCUAGUUCUAGGUUCAAUCCCCGAAUUGCUCUUAGGGCCGGCUCUGCCGGCCCUUUU